AAUGGCUUUAUGGUUUUGUUUUGUUUUGUUUUUUCUUUUUAAAACGUUCUUUUUAAUAUUUAUUUUAUUUUGUAUGUGUGUACUUGGAGGUCAGACUUGUGCGAGCCCUUUUCCAGAACCCGUGUCCUGAAGAUCACUCCUGUCUGGCUAGGCAGCACCUUUGGCUGCUGAGACAUCCCCAGCCCAGUGUGGAUUUUCAGGAGUGCUUUCCCUUCUCCUCCUCUACUUAACUGUCCCCGGGUGAAGGGGAUUGAGGUUUUGCUUCCUAUGGUCUUGCCAGUUGUAGACUUUUCAAGUUUGAAGUUCCUUUGAAGUCGUGUCUUGUUAACCCAUCUAUAUUGUCUUCCUCUGAGUGUAUCCUUUGUGGGUGGUGUUCUGCAUUAUCUUCAAAAACAAGAUACCAGGAUAUCAGGCCUGGCCUCUGCUACAAAGGUGAAUGUAGAUUGAAUACUUGGCUACCCUGAACUGUAACCUUCAUUUACUGUUUGUUUGUUUUGUUUUUUUGUUGUUGUUUUUGGUUUUGAUUUUUGGUUUUUGUUUUCUGAGACAGGGUUUCUCUCUGUAGCCCUGGCUGGCCUGGAACUCAGUCUGUAGACCGGGUUGGCCUGGAACUCACAAAGAUCCAUCUGCCUCUCUCUGCUGGGAUUAAAGGCGUGGGCCACCAACUCCCAGCUUAGUUGUAUACUGUGUACUAAUCAAGUCAGAGAAUUUGUCCUUUUUCAUUUAUUUCCUAAUAAAAGCAGAUUGACAUAUAUCAUGUUUUUUGACUCCCUUCUCCAUUCCCCUCUUGAAUACAGACAUGUAAGUAGCAUUUAACAGGCACACUUGGAUAGCCUUGUCUAUUGCAGCACUGUUCACAAUAGACAACUUAGGGACAACUUGACAAGUUGCCUGCAGCAGAUGAAUAGAAUGUUCUAUUGAUGUGAAGAGACACCAUGACCAAGGCAACUCUUAGAAGAGAAAGCAUUUAGUUGGGGUGUAGCUUCUAGUUUUAGAGGGUUAGUUCAUUACUCUCAUGGCAGGGACAGGCUCCUGUAGCUCAAGCUGAUUGCUUUAUAUUCUGAGCCAAGGGAGCAAGCAGAGAGAGGCCCUGGACCUGACAUGGGCUUUGAAAUUUCAAAGGCCACCCCAGCAACACGCCUCCAACAGGGAUGCAUCAACUCCAACGUAGACAUCCCUCCUAAUUCUUCCCGGUCUGUAAACUUAGUCUAGGCAUGCAAAGAAACGAGCCUAUAGGAGCCACGCUCGUCCAAACCAUCGUGCAGAUAAAAGAAAUAGUGUGUAUGUACACAGUGGAUUUCUGCUAAACUAAAAAGAAGCAUGAAAUUGUAUUGUUUACUGGAAAAUAGGUCCACUUGAAAAUCCUAGUAAGUGAAAUAUGCCACACUCAGAGGCAAAUAACACAUUUUCUUUGAUUUGUGUGUCCAGUCCUGUACAUACAUAGCCAUUUUUAUAUAUGUGACAUAAAAUUUUCUUGGAAGCCUUUUUUUUUUUUUUUUUAUUUAUUACAUGUAAGUACACUGUAGCUGUCUUCAGACACUCCAGAAGAAGGUGUCAGAUCUUGUUACAGAUGGUUGUGAGCCACCAUGUGGUUGCUGGGAUUUGAACUCCAGACCUUCGGAAGAGCAGUCGGGUGCUCUUACCCACUGAGCCAUCUCACCAGCCCCCUCUUGGAAGCCUUUUUAUGUUUGUGGAAGUCUUGUGUGGUCUUAGAAAUUGUGUUAUAGGCUCUUUCUGUUUCAUGCAGUUUUUUGUGGUGUGCCAGAACUGACUUGGCUUGUUGUCUUUGUAUCAUAUGGGUCUUACUCAGUAAACCAGGCUGUACUUAGAAUGAUGAACAAUCCUUUUGCCUCUGCCUCUACCUCUACCUCCUAAAUACUGGUAUGAAUGUAGCGUGUGCUACCCUAACAGGAAUGCUUAGUGUUUUCGAAUUCUUGUUUUACAGAUUUAGUAACUUGUCAGUUCUUUGAAUUUUCUAGUUAGAUAAUAGAGAUAACUAGCUUUUCUUUCUGUUCUUAGAUGUAGCAAUUAAUUUCUGUCUCUCCCUCUGCUCUACCACUGCCACCAAUACAGGGUCUUACUGUGUUAUCUAUAGCUCUAUUAGUCCUAGAACUCAUCAUGUAGACUACGUUGGCCUUGAACUCAAAGAUUCUCCUGCUUCUGCCUUCUGAGUACUGGGAUUAAAGGUGUGCUUUUAAUAUUUGGCAGAGAUCUUUUUCUUUUUCUUUUCCUUUUCCCUUUUCUUUUCUUUUCUUUUCUUUUCAUUUCUUUUCUUUUUUUCGAGACAGGGUUUCUCUGUGUAGCCCUGGCUGUCCUGGAACUCACUCUGUAGACCAGGCUGGCCUCGAACUCAGAAAUCCCGCCUGCCUCUGCCUCCCGAGUGCUGGGAUUAAAGGCGUGCACCACCACGCCUGGCUCAGAGAUCAUUUUUUUAAUCAGCACUUGCAGGUAUUAUUUCACACAGUAGAGGUGUUAAUAAAAGGGAUGUGGUUAAAGUUACUGCCAAACAUUUGACUUCAGAUAGAAUGUUUAACAUAUUCUUGCUAAUCUUUGUGCUGUCAGCAUUGGUCUUUCUGUUUGUGCUUUUAAGUAGGAUUUCACAAGAUUUUUGUGGGAAUAAAGGAAUAAGACCUCAAUCUUCUUUGAUUGAAAUAUGAAAGGCAUUAGUUUACUUUUUAUGAAGAGACUAGAUUUAAUUUUUAUGGGUAGUUCCCAUGAACGGGGAAAGAUUCUUAGAAGGAAGCAAAGCCAUUCUAUGUAGGUUUUCACUCCUAGCGAGGUAAGUGCAUGAGAUAUGGAUAGUGACUGUCACCUCUAAGACAGUCCGUAUUACUUUUUAUCUCUUCACUACUUCUGAGCUAACCUUUCGUUUCCUGUUAGAUAACCGAGGAGAUGAUGGAUGAAGC
rnacentral:lncRNA from 1 species